rnacentral:rRNA from 1 species
UACGGAGGGUGCAAGCGUUAUUCGGAAUUACUGGGCGUAAAGCGCGUGUAGGCGGAAAUGUAGGUCAGUUGUGAAAUCCCUUGGCUUAACUAAGGAAUUGCGUCUGAAACCACAUUUCUUGAGUACGACAGAGGAGAGUGGAAUUCCCAGUGUAGAGGUGAAAUUCAUAGAUAUUGGGAAGAACACCAGUGGCGAAGGCGGCUCUCUGGGUCGAUACUGACGCUGAGACGCGAAAGCGUGGGUAGCAAACAGG